CACACGACUCUCGGCAACGGAUAUCUCGGCUCUCGCAUCGAUGAAGAACGUAGCGAAAUGCGAUACCUGGUGUGAAUUGCAGAAUCCCGUGAACCAUCGAGUCUUUGAACGCAAGUUGCGCCCGAGGCCAUUCGGCCGAGGGCACGCCUGCCUGGGCAUCACGC
rnacentral:rRNA from 1 species